rnacentral:tRNA from 1 species
GCCCGUGUGGCAGUGGUAGAGCACUGGCCUGCGCACCAGAGGGUUGCAGGUUCAAUUCCUGGUCAAGGGCA